AUUGAACGCUGGCGGCAUGCCUUACACAUGCAAGUCGAACGGCAGCACGGGAGCAAUCCUGGUGGCGAGUGGCGAACGGGUGAGUAAUAUAUCGGAACGUGCCCAGUAGUGGGGGGAUAGCCCGGCGAAAGCCGGAUUAAUACCGCAUGAGACCUGAGGGUGAAAGCGGGGGAUCGCAAGACCUCGCGCUAUUGGAGCGGCCGAUAUCAGAUUAGCUAGUUGGUGGGGUAAAGGCCUACCAAGGCAACGAUCUGUAGUUGGUCUGAGAGGACGACCAGCCACACUGGGACUGAGACACGGCCCAGACUCCUACGGAGGCAGCAGUGGGGAAUUUUGGACAAUGGGCGCAAGCCUGAUCCAGCAAUGCCGCGUGCAGGAAGAAGGCCUCGGUUGUAAC
rnacentral:rRNA from 1 species